UCACACCAAUGAAACAAAACAGAACACCUGGAGUCGAUUGCACCAGUUAUAGGCACAUGAUAUGUCCAUGUGUAAAAUCCUGUCUCAAACCAAAGUGUGAUAAUGGAAGCCAGUAGGUUUCCAAGAUGUUAUUCAUAAAUCAUGGGGUGGCCUGAAAUGGAAGUUAUCAAUAGAAGAUACUGUUGAUUGCAGCUGUAUUAGUAAAUUACAAAAAACACUAUUACAAACAAAAGCGCAAUCGAGGAACAAUUACAUUUUUCAAGACGUAUUUGAUAUUUAAUAUACCCUAUGUACACGAUUGAUCAAAUUACAGGAGUUAUAAGAGAGUAAAUUUAAGCCAUUAUUUGGCAGGAAUUUAGAACUUGCAGCUCUACAAUGGCGGGCAUGUCCUCGCACAUGCGCAAUGUCAGGCGCACAAUUCAGCAAGCGGACGAUGGGCUCUCACCUCAAUAUAUUAUCAAUCCAUCUCGUUCUAUGGUAUAGCAUGCUCAAGAGGAUUAUAUUAAUCAAGCAUGACUAUUGAGGUCUGCCACCAGGCUCACCAGCAGCAACCAUCCAGUAUCAGUCCCAUCCCUUCUGAGGGAGCUUCGUACACAGUCCUGGUGGGGGACUGACAGUCAGCCUUCCGCCCAGAGAUUUCUGGGAGCAGGGCCAACUUUUCCUCUCUGGAUCAACUCCAUGGUAACGGUUCUGUUUCUUAUACGAGCUGUGCCUCGGGUCAUGAAGAUAAGUGUGUAUUCCAUCCAUGAAUCAUGGAUCACAUGUGGCCUAUGUUGAUCAUUUUGUAAUGACAAUUAUUAAUUUUAUGGACCUAUUUACAUAACAGAUUGUCUGGACAAUUACAAUAAACCAGGUUUUUAGUUUAGCAUGUUAAAAUGGUAAAAAAGGAAUCUGAUAUGCCAAAAUGUUCUUAGAUUUACAGUUGGAAAAUCAACUGAAAGAAAUGUUAUAAAAUCCCAUGUGUAUCCCAAAUAUCUUAACCCAAAUGCACCACUAGACAGCACUGUUUACACUUUCUGCUUAUAUGCCGGCUGGUUAUCAGAAUAACUCUGGAUAAUGGAAAGCAGAGACCCCUGCUGGAAAGAGACAACAUUAUUACUUAUUUUGCCCGUGAAAAGAAAUUCAAAACUACUUUCUAAGUAAGAGCAGUGAUUGAAAUCACAGAAAGUCACUCACACAAACGCAUGUGCAUUGUGCACACACUUCAAGAAACACUUCAAGGCACUUUCAAACAUUUUCUAGGACCAAUAGGUCAAACCAUCAACUUUUAUGGUACAGUAUAGGCUACCUAUUGUUAAUUUCAA